UCUCGAUUGGUCUAGUGGUCAGGAUACCUGCUUGUCAUUCGACGUGAGACCCGAGCUGCUUGUUGGUUUGGUCUCUGUUGGGACAAUUCGCAGGUGGCCGGGGUUCGAUUCCCCGAUCGAGAG